CUUCAAAAUAUUGAACGGGCACAGGAAAGACAGCAGAGGACCUUUGGAGACCGGAAACGCAAAUUUACCCGUGUCACAACUGUUGAGGCUGGGGACGAAUGCCUGAUUUCAGGGGCUUCAAAAAGGCCACGUACAGGGGACACAUUGACCAGCCAGCACAGAGGACCUUACAUGAUUGGCAACAUUACAAAAAAAAGGAGUGGCCACAGUGCUGAAGGGAUCAACAACCAUGAAGGUCAAUGUGUCCAGACUGAGGCCCUAUUAUAGGUUAACAAAUGAGCAACUAUCUGAAGGGCAGCUUCUAAAGGACCAUGAAUACUCCUCAAGGGACUGGCAGCUGGAGCAUUCCUAUUGUUCUUCUGGAGCAAAGUGGGAACAGGAUGUGAACCCAGUUCAAGAGGCUCUUCUAUGUUACAUAUUGGACCAGGAUCGUUCACCUGCUGAGCUAAUUGUGAAGGAGGGAAGUGUGUGCCUCACACGUGAGGAUUUCUGGUCCUUGGGGUUAAGUCAGUGCAUGGAAUCAAACAUUGGAAAUGCUUGCCUGAAAAUAGUAGAGGAAACGGCAAAAAGAUUUGGAAGAGAAAUACACAUCUUUAAUCUGUA